rnacentral:tRNA from 1 species
ACAGUGGUAUUUCCGUGGUAGAAUUCUCAUCUUUCAUGUGGGAGACUGGGGUUCGAUUCCCCGCCAGUGUA